CUUAAGGCAUUAAGUCAUCACUGAAGAUCUUUAAGGUUACAAUGGACAAGAUGCUGUACAAUCUUCACAGAUAUAACAGUAGCCAUGUGUACAGGGGAAGAAAGCCUUUAGCAUUCCCCCCCGGAUGUGACAUUUAGCUUCAAUGAAUGACUCAACCUGCAGUUUUACCUUUUGGAAAUCCUGCCCGAGGACUCCCAAGACCUUCUAACCAUCCACAGUCCUGUGCUGGAGACUCUUGACCUGAAGACUAUAUCACUGGUUGAAGGUACGAGGAUGGCCACCUUCAUAUCGCAACGCAAUCACACAGCAGAACGUCACACAACAAAACAGAAUGUGGCUGUAGAGGUGUUGUCAGGGUCACCACAUGCUUCUCGAACCAGUGACUUUCCUCCAGAUACCACAAUCCGCAGCCUUCAAGUUCCCG